GAUGAACGCUGGCGGCGUGCCUAAUACAUGCCAGUCGAGCUAACGGACGAGAAGCUUGCUUCUCUGAUGUUAGCGGCGGACGGGUGAGUAACACGUGGAUAACCUACCUAUAAGACUGGGAUAACUUCGGGAAACCGGAGCUAAUACCGGAUAAUAUUUUGAACCGCAUGGUUCAAAAGUGAAAGACGGUCUUGCUGUCACUUAUAGAUGGAUCCGCGCUGCAUUAGCUAGUUGGUAAGGUAACGGCUUACCAAGGCAACGAUGCAUAGCCGACCUGAGAGGGUGAUCGGCCACACUGGAACUGAGACACGGUCCAGACUCCUACGGGAGGCAGCAGUAGGGAAUCUUCCGCAAUGGGCGAAAGCCUGACGGAGCAACGCCGCGUGAGUGAUGAAGGUCUUCGGAUCGUAAAACUCUGUUAUUAGGGAAGAACAUAUGUGUAAGUAACUGUGCACAUCUUGACGGUACCUAAUCAGAAAGCCACGGCUAACUACGUG
rnacentral:rRNA from 1 species